UACAGAGGGUGCGAGCGUUAAUCGGAAUUACUGGGCGUAAAGCGCGCGUAGGCGGCUUUGCAAGUCGGGUGUGAAAUCCCCAGGCUUAACCUGGGAACUGCAUUCGAGACUGCAUUGCUAGAGUAUGGGAGAGGGAAGUGGAAUUUCCGGUGUAGCGGUGAAAUGCGUAGAUAUCGUAAGGAAGACCAGUGGCGAAGGCGGGUCUCUGGACAGUUCCUGACGCUGAGGCACGAAGGUCAGGGGAGCAAACGGG
rnacentral:rRNA from 1 species